rnacentral:rRNA from 1 species
UACGGAGGAUCCAAGCGUUAUCCGGAAUCAUUGGGUUUAAAGGGUCCGUAGGCGGGCCUGUAAGUCAGUGGUGAAAUCUUUCGGCUCAACCGGAGAAUUGCCAUUGAUACUGCAGGCCUUGAAUUAUUGGGAAGUAACUAGAAUAUGUAGUGUAGCGGUGAAAUGCUUAGAUAUUACAUGGAAUACCGAUUGCGAAGGCAGGUUACUACCAAUGGAUUGACGCUGAUGGACGAAAGCGUGGGGAGCGAACAGG